CUGGACUGGCCGGCCCAAAGCAGAACAAGGUGCCCCAUUCGUCCUCGGCCGAGCAGCCGCACAGUUUGUUCCUAGUAGACGUGAAAAGUUUUUGCUCAAAAAAAAAAGAGUAGACGUGAACAAUUGAGCCACCGCGAAACAAAGAGGUGGGCAGCAGGUAUGACAGCAUCGAGUUGCUCUAAAAAAAAGAAGGGAAACGUUUACAACCGGGGCACCGGCCGAAACUUCGGCCGGUCCACUCGCUUACCCCGCGCGUAGCGCUAAAGCAGGAGAGACACGUCAUCCCGCGAGGGUCCGCACACCGCUCUGCUUCCUUAUCCUUUCCAGCGCGGCUGCUGUCCACACACACCACAUUUCCUUCCUUUCUUGCCUGGAUUUCCCACGCCGCUGCUUCUGCCUAUCUAUUUUUUCUCAGACGCCAUUGCUGUAGAGUUGCUGCACGGGGCGCCCUCACCCACGAAGCGUGGCGCCGCGGGAGUUGUUGCUGCUGCAAGGGAUGCCAUCGCCAUGGCCGAACGCGACGGGGCUGAGCACCGGCGCUAUUACGACAGGGGGCCAUGGUCUGCGAGCUCACAGGCCAGGGCGGCCAUGGCUACGAGCUCGAGGCAUGUUACUACAACUCCAGAUUUGCUUCCAUGUUUGCUUUUGCUGGAACCAGUGUACUAAUUUGUUACCAUCGUCUUUGUUUUUUGCUGGAACUAACCAAAUUUUGCUGCCAUGUCUUUUUGCUGGAAUCAUUUUUGUACCACUUUUUUGCUACAACAGUUUUGGUUUUUUGCUACUACCGGCACUGUCGUUUGUUACAUCCUUUUUCAUGAGAUUGUCGAGACCCUGUGCUUGUGUGUUUUGCUACAACCUUGUACUGUUUUUGCUACAACCUUCUACAUUUUUUGCUACUACUGGAGAAGCCCCUAGCUGGACCACAAGUUAUUUUUGCUACAACCGUUUUGUGGUUUGCUGCAACCAAUGUCAAUUUUUGCUACCACCGACUUCUUUGAUUUUUCUGGAACCAGCGCUCGAUUUUUUAUUUUUGCUACCACUAGCGUUUCGAUUUGCUGGAACAAGCUUCAAUUUUUGCUACCAUCAGGUUUUUGGUUUGUUGGAGUGUCGUCAAUUUUUUCUAAUUUUGCUACCAACGUUUUAUUAUUUGCUGGAACCGUCAAGAAUUUUUGCUACGGCCGGUGGAAUUUUUUGCUGCGACUGGCAAAUUAAGGAUGAGGAACAACACGAGCUCUACAACGGGUGCUGCGGCCGGUGACGUGAGGCUCCGCGAGCCGCGGGGGGCCUCGCCGGAGAUGCGCCGCGGGGGCGUUGCUGGAGCUGGGCCUCGCCGGAGAUGCGCCGCGGGGCUGGAGCUGGGCCUCACCGGAGAUGUGCCGCGGGGGCCUUUGCUGGAGCUGCGCGGUGCUGCGAGCCGCGGGGGAUCUCACCGGAGAUGCGCCGUGCUGCGAGCCGCAGGGGAUCUCGCCGGAGAUGCGCCACGGGGCCCGAGGAAGAAGAAGCUGGGGCGAUUUUUUAUUUUAUUUUUUUGGCUCCAGAUCCAACCGCCGCGCGGCUCGCAUCGAGCGGCUAUGGCUGGACCGGCCGAAAGUUUCGGCCGGUGCGCCGGCGUCUAGUGGUGCCCUAAAAAGAAGGCCAAAUCGAGCGCCUGAGGUAUCCCCGUCGCCUUCACUCGUCAGUCACUCAAAGGAAUCCAGCAAAGCAACAGGUCACCCGGCGUCCGCAGCGCCACAACCCGGCAGCACCGGCGCCUCCGGCCACGACCGACCCAAUCCAUCCCUCCUCUUCCGGGAAUAAAAUCUGGUCUCCAUGCGCACGGCGUGGGUGGGGCGGCCGCCGGUCGGUUGGCACGCACUCGCCGUCAGCUGGCCGACCCUGCCGCCAUCUCGCACAUACGCACACAGCAGCUGAUGCGGGCAGACUCAGACGUCACAGACGAUACAAGGGAAAGUAAACACAUCCGCGUACCUCUUCCGCAACGCAGAAACCGGCCUGACUCAUCGCUCAACGUCAGUGCCAACCUAGCGUUCAGCAAGAGCACGCACACUUGCACCUUUAUGUAAAGCAAAACCCGACGCCGUCACCAGCUUUGGUUUCUUCUCUUCCCAUUGCUCACAUACCUCGGCAGAGAGUAUUCUCACCUCCCAGCUCAGCCUUCACUUCCCUCUCCUCUCCUUCCUCCACCCACUCCACUCAGAGCUCCAGAAGCUCCGAUGGCGGCCCAGAAGGUGGUGCUGAGGGUCCCGACCAUGACCGACGACAAGGUGAAGCAGAAGGCUAUUGAAGCGGUCGCGGACAUCUACGGUAUUGAUUCCAUAGUUGCAGAUCUGAAGGACAAUAAGAUGAUCAUCAUAGGCGAGAUGGACACUGUGGCAAUCGCAAAGAAAUUAAAGAAGGUUGGGAAGAUUGACAUUGUGUCUGUUGGACCUGCAAAAGAAGAAAAGAAAGAAGAGAAGAAAGAAGAAAAGAAAGAGGAGAAGAAAGAGGAAAAGAAAGAAGAGAAGAAAGAGGAGAAGAAAGAAGAGAAGAAAUGAUUCAGCAUACAACACCAUCCCAUGGCCUUUCUCCUGUGUGCACUUGCAAUAGCUUUGACUACAGAUUGAUGUUUCUAAGAGAUAUGACUUUGUACCAUUUAUAUAUAAAGUACGUACAUAUUAGUGACGUUUCUUUACAGAAAAGAAUACACUUUGUUCUUCCAUUUCUUAGCAUCUAUACGCCUACCUCAUCGAAUUAUCUUCACUUCCUCAUCCAUGCCCAGCGUUGGGACACCAACAC
rnacentral:rRNA from 1 species